rnacentral:rRNA from 1 species
GACGAACGCUGGCGGCAUGCUUAAUACAUGCAAGUCGAACGAACAGAUUAAUUGCUGGCACUUUAGACGAGAGCGGAGAAGGGGAGAGUAACACGUAAGGAAUGCACUGAAAAGCGGGGGAAGACAGUGGGAAAGGGGUGAAAAUAGGGCAGAAUGACGUUUUGGGUGUGGAAGUGGAUAGAAAGACGGCGUGGGUUUCGCUUAUGGAUUACCUUGUGGUGGGUUGGGUAGUUGGUGGGGUAACGGCCUACGCGGACGAGGAUGCAGAGCCGACCGGGGAGGGUGAUCGGCCGCAUUGGGACUGAGACACGGCCCAAACUCCUACGGGAGGCAGCAGUAGGGAAUCUUCCGCAAUGGGCGAAAGCCUUACGGAACAAUGCCGCGUGAGUGAAGACGGCCUCCGGGUCGUAAAACUCUGUUAUAAGAGAAGAACAACUUGUAGAGUAAAUGCUACAGUCUUGACGGUAUCUUAUCAGAAAGUCACGGCUAACUACGUG